rnacentral:rRNA from 1 species
GAUGAACGCUGGCGGCGUGCUUAACACAUGCAAGUCGAACGGAAAGGCUCCUGCUUGCAGGGGUACUCGAGUGGCGAACGGGUGAGUAACACGUGGGUGAUCUGCCCUGCACUUCGGGAUAAGCCUGGGAAACUGGGUCUAAUACCGGAUAGGACGAUGGUUUGGAUGCCAUUGUGGAAAGUUUUUCGGUGUGGGAUGAGCUCGCGGCCUAUCACCUUGUUGGUUGGGUAAUGGCCUACCAAGGCGUCGACGGGUAGCCGGCCUGGGAGGGUGUACGGCCACAUUGGGACUGAGAUACGGCCCAGACUCCUACGGGAGGCAGCAGUGGGGAAUAUUGCACAAUGGGCGCAAGCCUGAUGCAGCGACGCCGCGUGGGGGAUGACGGCCUUCGGGUUGUAAACUCCUUUCGCUAGGGACGAAGCGCAAGUGACGGUACCUGGAGAAGAAGCACCGGCUAACUACGUG